AAUUCGUGGUGAGAACAUCUUCUCAUCAAAUCCGUUUACCUCUCCCAAGCCUCAUAUAGUGAUUCAGAAUCAAAUUGCAUUAAAGAAGUGAUAUCAUUCUGCAUCU
rnacentral:snoRNA from 1 species